rfam:Aedes aegypti strain Liverpool supercont1.45 genomic scaffold, whole genome shotgun sequence.
GCGUGAUGGCUUUCGGUGAUUAUCCGGCGGAGUACAACCCGAAAAUCAACGGACCUUACGAUCCUUCCAGUUACUACGGCAGGCCGGAUACGCC